rnacentral:rRNA from 1 species
UACGGAAGGGGCAAGCGUUGUUCGGAAUCAUUGGGCGUAAAGGGCGCGUAGGUGGUUCUGUAUGUCUACCGUGAAAAGCGUACGGCUCAACCGUAUUUUUUGUCGGUAGAAAACUGCAGGACUUGAGGCUGGGAGGGGGCUGGUGGCAUUCCCUGUGUAGCGGUGAAAUGCGUAGAGAUGGGGAGAACACUCGUGGCGAAGGCGGCCAGCUAGACCAGUUCUGACACUGAGGCGCGACAGCGUGGGGGAGCAAACAGG